CGCACUGCUCAGUACACGUGGACAACCUACCCGGUGGAGGGGGAUAACCCCGGAAAACUGGGGAUAAUACCCCAUAGGUUAGGGAGGCUGGAAUGCCCCCUAGCUCAAAGGUCCGCCGCCACAGGAUGGGUCUGCGGCCGAUUAGGUUGUUGUUGGGGUAACGGCCCAACAAGCCUUUGAUCGGUACGGGUUGUGGGAGCAAGAGCCCGGAGAUGGAUUCUGAGACACGAAUCCAGGCCCUACGGGGCGCAGCAGGCGCGAAAACUUUACAAUGCGAGAAAUCGUGAUAAGGGAACCCCGAGUGCCCGUAAAUUCGGGCUGUCCGCCAGUGCACAAAACUGGUGAAGAAAGAGCCGGGCAAGACCGGUGCCAGCCGCCGCGGUAAUACCGGCGGCUCGAGUGGUGGCCACUAUUACUGGGCUUAAAGCGUCCGU
rnacentral:rRNA from 1 species